rnacentral:lncRNA from 10 species
ACUGUACCAGGUGGUUUCACAGAACACUUUUGACUCUCACAACAAGCCUAUUCGAUAGGCACUAUUUUUAUUACAACCAUUUUACAAAUACAGAAACUGACGCAGAGAGGGAGUAAUUGUGCCCAAGACCACACAGGUAAAAAAAGGCUAAGGUGGUAUUCCAACCCAGACAGUCUGGCUGCAGUCUGUGUCCUAAGUCCAAUGCUGUCACUCUGUACUCCCUAAAUCUCUCCAUACACUUCAGUUUCACCUGUUCUUUUGUCCCUACUGAUUCCUAGCAAUGUUUUUUUUUUUUUGUCUUCCAUAUGACACUUUCAUUCCCCAUACUUUUCUGUGAAGAAAGACGCAGAGGUAGCAAAGACAAGAGACAAGUAGAUUGCAAAAAGAAAUGUUUUUGUAGAAAAGGGAAAAACUCUAUGGGAGAUGAAAUAAAAUGAGCAAGUUCUGAGGGGUGAUGGACAGAUCAAAAACAGAUGAUCUUCAAGACAACAUAAUCACCCAUAAACGUGGUAAAACAAAAAAUUACACUUCCAAUUUGGUGGAAAGAGUGCCACCUGCUGACACUUUCUGGAAUAAGGUAGUUUAGCCCAUUUGAAAGAAGCUGUAUUGCCUUCUCAAAAACAACGAAAACCUACUAUUGAUCAAUGAAGGUAACAAGAUAUAACUUCAACAAAGUAAAACAACGAACACAUAAUUAUCCCACAAAAUAAGAAUUUAAAUAAAGAAUUAUCAAACCUGGAAUUCUACUCCUGUCAAUUAUUGUUUCUGGCAUAUGGUAGGGGUUCAAAAUACAUUUGUUGAGCGAAUUCUAACAUAGUACUAUUUAGUUUUCUGAAAAAUCCUGUAAUGAUCACCUUAUUUAGAACCAAACCAUGCAGGCUGGUAUCUUCCAAACAUACACAAUCUGUAAGUACAAUUUUCUCCAUUCCCCACUUCUAAGAUAAUAAUGGCUAUUUCUUCAGCACAUAUUAUGACAGGCACUGUUCUAAGCACUUAACAUAUAUUAAUGAAUUUUCGUGACCUCAUAACGUCCAUAUUAUCAUUAAUAGUAUCUUCAUUUUACAGAUGAAAAACGGAUGCCCAGAGAGGUGAAGUAAUUUAUCCAAGGUCCCUCAGAUGAGCAGGGUGGAGGUUCACAUCCAAGAGGUUUGGCUCCAAAGUUUUGCUCAUAACCCCUUUGUUGCCUUCUGUUACAUGGCGGAAGGUCCAGCCACUAAGAUAGAAGCCAGAGGUUUAACUGGGGAAAUGGGAAUAAUGGCAGAUGUUCAUCUAUAAGGCUACACUGCCACUCCAUGCCACAGACUCCAAGAACAGAAUUACAGCCAGGCUUCAGAUUGGAACUGGGCUUGGAAAUGCAUGCCUCUCAACGUGAAUGUGGCCCCAAAACUCAUGGGGGUCAUACACAGCUUCCCAAUGAUGGCAGGGCUGUACCUAUCAUUCAGUAGGCUUUUAUGCUUUGAUAGCUGAUUGUUAUAACUUAGUGCUCUAAUCCCAAAUAGGUCGUGCAUAAAUCUAGAAUACCAAAAGCAAGGCCUAAUUCGGGUCUUGUACGGGCAAAAGUGGAGUAAAUGUACCUAGGCCUUUGACUACAUCUCCAUACACUGCAAUGGCAAAUGUCAUCAUCUAGAUUGGCUGGAGUUCAUCCUUCACUUCUUCCUCCACGCUAUCCAGCUUCUUCAGAUAUGUUCUUGUCUAGUCUCGUUUCCCAUUUUCCACACCCACUUGGUGUUCCAGGUCAGGCUCGUAUUCUUAGUGUUCUAACACUCCACCCUUGGGUCUUUGCAAAAGUACUUCCCGCACUAAGAUCUCUUCCCUCCUCUGCAAAAUCAACUUGUCCUUUGGAGUAUAAUUUCUUCUCGAAACUUUCCAGCAAGGGAUCCACAGUAAUUUCUCUUUUUCCUGUAGCACUUGCUUUUGUAUCACUCAUAUUUGAUCCAUAUUUUCCUAGCUCACCAAAUAGUCUUUUUCAACUAGACCAGAGUUCCUUGAAAGCAAAGGGUUUCCAUAGCUUUUUCUAUCUCUAUGGCCGGACAACGUAGUAGGAACUUAUUAAUUCACUUAACACUACUGGAGAAGCCAAUCAAUCAACAAGCGCAUAAGGUUAGUUAGUGGUGAGUGCUAUUAAGAAAAAUUGCGGAUAAAGCGAUAGAAAGUGAGGUUGGUAGGUGUUAAUUAAGAUAGGAAGGUCAGGAAAAUCUUUCUGUCGGGGGCGAUUGUAAGCUGACAGGCAGUCCGUAAGCGCUGUCCCUGCUGCGUUCAAAUGAAUUAAAUCUUUGCCUUAUGGGUGAUGCAGGUAAAAGAGCUCCGACUCAGCAUCAAAACACAGAGUUCUUCUGGUCUGGCUCUGACGAGGAGCCUUAGUUUCCUCAGCGUCUUAACUGUCUUAAGGAUUGUCUUUGUGGGCCUUACAAGAUUGCGGGGAGGAUCAAACAUUCUAAUAAAUGAAGGAGGGCCACGAGAACGGAACCUUCCGCUUGAGUCACCAUUUAAACAAGUGUUUGUGGAAUGAGAAUUAUCUUGCCCGCUUCAGGUGCUCAGGAUGCAGACAGACGUGAAACUGGCGGGUCCUUUAGGAGACUGUCCCGACUGCGUGUCCUGAGGUGACUCGCCCCAGGGCGCACGGCAGCCGGCAGCCAAGCUCAAGCUUUCAGGCUCUCAUUUCAAAGUGUCCCGAGGUGAUUCGCCCCAGGGCGCACGGCACCCGGCAGCCAAGCCCAAGCUUUCAGGUUCUCAUUUCCAUCACGCCCCGGCCGGCCGCCGCGGACAGCUCCGCGGAGCCGACUCGGAGGCUGCUACUUGCAAAUUCCCGGGCUGCCCGCCCGCCCGCACUCACCAAUGGGCUUGUCCAACCGCAUGAGGCGCAAGUACGGCUGCAGGGGGCGGGGCGCAGAGUCCAC